AUUGAACGCUGGCGGCAGGCCUAAUACAUGCAAGUCGAGCGAGGGGCGGACGGGUGAGUAAUGUAUGGGGACUGCCCGAUAGAGGGGGAUAACUACUGGAAACGGUAGCUAAUACCGCAUACUAUCGGAUAACCAAUUUGGGAUUAGCUAGUAGGUGAGGUAAUGGCUCACCUAGGCGACGAUCGCUAGCCGGUCUGAGAGGUUGAUCGGCCACACUGGGACUGUGACACGGCCCAGACUCCUACGGAGGCAGCAGUAGGGAAUAUUGCACAAGGGACGAAAGCCUGAUGCAGCCAUGCCGCGUGAAUGAAGAAGGCCCUAGGGUCGUAAAGUACUUUCGUUAGGGAAGCGUUACCGAAAGAAAAAGCAACGGCUAACUCCGUGCCAGCAGCCGCGGUAAUUC
rnacentral:rRNA from 1 species